ACUCGGCUACCUUCUCUCACCUGGGGCUGCCCCCUCGGGCUCCUCCAGUCCAGAAGCCAUGCUUUCUGCAGGAGCACAGGGAAGCCUGCUCCAGACAGGGUGAACUCCAGCCCUGGGCUGUGCAUGCACGUCUAUGCUGCCUUACACAAGAGUAUGAGGCUGGCUGUACCUGCUUGAGAGGAGCAACAGGGAGCCUUGGGUCCAGCCCGCUGCCUGUCUCUGCCUUGGAGUUCACACCCACACGGAGGAGAGCCCAUAGCUAUGAGAAACGCCCCAUCUGCGCUAUCAAGUGAACAAACUCCCAGGUGAGGAUGCUCUUGGCAGGGUGGGGCAGCGUCACGCCAAAGCCCAAACAAAGAUGACCUCUUUGCAGCGCUCCUAGGGCAGACUAUCUUGGGGACCCUGAGCAUGGCCAGAGCCACCAACCUCAACAGUCAUCUCAGAAGUAUCCAACCCAGGGGCUUGGGCAGCAGCUCUACCACCCUGACCAGACGCCAGCCAAGCCUCCCAUCCCACAUCCCACUUCCUGCCCAGCCCGGAGCUGCUGAUCCUCGAGAGCUGCCCCAAGGAUGAACAGAAGCAGAACCUGUCCACUCUCCAGCCUACCCCUCUGCCAUCAGGCAGUCAAGAGAACGUCCCUCUGAACCCCAACCAUGGCAGACUCUGCCAAGCCCCCUAGGUGGAUGGCAUCAGGCCUCUAAGCAGACCCUAUACCAGGCACGUUACACCUACCGUGGCGAGGUGUCUCAUGGGGUCACCGACGUAAAGCAUGGUAGGCUCGUGGGGGUCUGCACACGCUGAGGAGCUGGUGUGCCGCGGGACGAGGCAUGGGUCUGGGUGGCUAGGUGGGGUAGGGGUAGACUGGUGGCUGCCUGGUGGGGUGGACUGAGGGGUUGAGGCUCUGUGGCUAGGAAGGCAGGAGCGGAGGAUGCUCAGAGGCGUGCGGACUGAGAGUUGGCAUUCUCACCCUGCCCAUCUCCCUCAUUUCUGUCAACUGGCUGCAUCCAACAACAAACUGGGGCCCGCCCCUUUAUUCCUUAUGACUAUUCAUCAACGCAGGGCAGGCCUCAGCUUGCCCGGAGAUGUGUUGGACCGCACCAAGCAGGCUGAGCAGGGGGAGCAGGUGGGGAUGCAGGGUCAGUGGCUGGCUUGGAGAUCAUACACUCCCACUCGGACCCUUCUAAGCUGCCACUCAGGGAAGGCUCCGGAGGGCUGUGGCAGUCACCUACAAACAGCCUACACUCUAAAGCACGAGCAGUCAGCCCUGGUCCUGGAGACCUUUGCAGUCUGGGUUGGGUCACCCUGAAGGAAGAGAUGGUGCCGCCAGCCUUGGCGACCCAGGGGAGAGAACCUGUCUCCUUCCAGGGAAUCGUGGACCUACAGGGACCACCCCAAGGUCUGAGUAGAGGAAAGACACACCAGUAUGCUUGGGCUAGGGGAGAGUCGAGAACACGGCCAACUACCGUCAAAGGCCCAAAGUGGCGGUUGGAGCCAAAGAACCCAUAACAGAGUUUUACAGACAGCAUUUUGUCCUGGCUCUAGCUAAGUCCAGGAAGCAGAGACAGGGCCACUCCACCAAAGAGAAUUCCUGAAGGACCACCUGAGAAGGCACCACAGGCAUGGUAGAGUUUGUAGAGCCAGGGGCUCUAUAUCAGCAUCUGCCUAGUGGGGACCAUACAGUGGAUACCACUGCCCCUUGUCUGGGGGCAUUUGAGUUUCAGAUCUGGUUCACGCAUGAAGUCACCAUAGUGGUCCACAACAGAUGCGUGUCCUGUGAAAAGGGUCAUCGGCCCUGAAUCUCUAGGCCUCCUAGAAAGACAGCUUGAGCCCCCCGCACCCCUCCCCCGCCACACACACACACACACACACACACACACACACACACACACACACAUUUAGAGUCUAAGGAUGUUCAAGAAGACGCAGAGAUGGUGUGAAGACAGAGUCCUCUGUUUAACCCUUUCUCGCCAAGUUCCAAACCAGCUUCCUUCUCCCUCCAGAGAGCUCGCAGUAUCUGGGCUUGGUCAGAGGGCUGUGGCAGUGGCUGUAGCCCCUGUUCAAAGCUCUGGAAUUCACAGAAGCAGUAAAGAUGGACUACUUCAUACUGAUCCCUACGCCGGUCUGAGAGGCAUGUUCAUGGCUGGGGCUGCACAGGUGUGCACUGCUCAUAAGUCAGCUAUGAACAAUAAAGUCAGUUUCUAGUC
ensembl:antisense Trp73os transformation related protein 73, opposite strand